UACGGAGGGUGCAAGCGUUGCUCGGAAUUAUUGGGCGUAAAGGGUAGGUAGGUGGUCUCAUUUGUCUGGGGUGAAAGCCUUGAGCUUAACUCAAGAAGUGCCCCAGAAACGGUGAGACUAGAGUCUUGGAGAGGGUCGUGGAAUUCCCGGUGUAGCGGUGAAAUGCGUAGAGAUCGGGAGGAACACCAGAGGCGAAGGCGGCGACCUGGACAGGUACUGACACUCAACUACGAAAGCGUGGGGAGCAAACAGG
rnacentral:rRNA from 1 species